AGCUCUCAGUUAAGACAUGAAAAAGCUAAGAAAAUAGAAUUGGAACAUAAAAACAGAUAUCAAAUCAUCACAAAGUCGAUAAAAUAAUGAAUGAGAAGCAGAAAAACACAAAACCAAGAGAGAAGAAAAAUAAGGACUUCACGUUCUAGGUAGCAUCACUAAAGCACUGAAGGUUUCUUGUGCGCAUGCGGGAAAAAAAAUACAAAGUACUUUUCAAUAGCCCUUGAAAGGA
rnacentral:lncRNA from 1 species